CCUACGGGGGGCUGCAGUGGGGAAUAUUGCACAAUGGGGGAAACCCUGAUGCAGCAACGCCGCGUGAGUGAUGAAUGCCUUCGGGUCGUAAAGCUCUGUCCUAAGGGAAGAAUACUGACGGUACCUUAGGAGGAAGCCCCGGCUAACUACGUGCCAGCAGCCGCGGUAAGACGUAGGGGGCUAGCGUUAUCCGGAAUUACUGGGCGUAAAGGGUGCGUAGGCGGGCCUUCAAGUCAGAGGUGAAAGGCUACGGCUCAACCGUAGUAAGCCUUUGAAACUGUAGGGGUUGAGUGCAGGAGAGGAGAGUGGAAUUCCCAGUGUAGCGGUGAAAUGCGUAGAUAGUGGGAAGAACACCAGUAGAGAAGGCGGCUCUCUGGACAGUAACAGACGAUGGGGAACGAAAGCGUGGGGAGCGAACAGGAUUAGAUACCCGUGUAGUC
rnacentral:rRNA from 1 species